ensembl:lncRNA
UUGAACAUGCCAUCAAAGUUUUUACUGCCCUACCACUGCUCUUCCCAUCUGGCUCUGCAGCACCCAAGAAACUGGUCCCAAUCAGUGAGGCUCUUUUCCACGUCCUUACGCCCUCUGAGGAUCCUGAUACCUACAUCCACUGGCGUGUGCUUUCUAGUCCUGUCUAGCUGAUUGAUUAACUUUGCAGUGCUAUGGACUUCUCAGCACAGUUGGUCCACCACUAUCCCAAACUCAGGGAUGGGGGUGGUUAUGAACUGCUUCAUAUCAUUGGUUCAACCAGAGACAAGGUAUGGGGGAGUUCUGCUGAUGAAAAUGAUGGACCAAUAGUUGAGUGCAUGUAUUGCCACAACAGUUUUAAACAUUCCAAUAUGCAGGAUCACAUAGACAUCUUUACAAGACAUUUUGGCAACACAGAAACUCCCACAGUACAAGCUGAGGCUGACGACCAUGGAAAGAUGGACACCAGAACAGAAAGACAGGCAACACCAGAGUGCAGUGGUCAUAGACCCACACAAAAUGAGACUGACAUGUACAGGCAGAUGCAGAUUGAGAGCAGCCAACACACUAAGAGACAGACUGAUAGAUGGCCAGAAACCGACAGUGACCACCACAGACUCCAAAGGCAAUCGAGACAGAGAGAAGAACAGCCAUCAACCAGCAGUAACAAUGGUUCAGUCAACAUCUUUCAAUCUCCUGAAAAAAGUCAUAAUGCCGGUAUGUUUAAGAGCUUUUCUUAUAGUUGACCCUUUUUCAUUCUCCAAAGUGUUGAUAUGGUCUUAUACAGUAGUUUGCCUUGCUAAUAACGUCAGUGAUUGAUCUUGGAGGUUAAGAGCAUUGUCUAAAGCCUUGAAUAUACUCGGGAGCAAACGCGGACAAGGACAGCUGAGAACACGGACUACUUCUAUUCAUACUCCCUUCUGCAGUCAGCAUGGCGGACACGUUCCACACAUGCACAGUAGAUCAGUUGGUGCCCUGGUAGUGCUAGUUGGUCUGUGGACCUGGCGCAGUCAUAAAAAAGGAGAGGCACGUGGACCCUACGCGUACCCCUCUGAUGAAGAUGCCUUGUACUGUGCCUGAGCACGAUUGUCCCCACUGGGCUGUGCUCACACUGCACCUAACAAUCCGAGCCAUAUGUUUACAUCAUACCAUAUAUUGAUUUGUUUGUGGCAGCCCGCUCAACCACUGAUAUAAUAAUACUAAUAAUUAUUAUUAUUAAAUGUAUAAUAACUGACUUUUCUUUCUCUCUCUAAUAUAAUUUUCAGAAUGCUAAGCUGAAAAGGAUCCAGAAAAGGCAGCUGAGACUUACAGAAGGGAUUUACUGCAACAAUCAGAAACAUACAGGAGUCUGAAAUAUGUAAUGGAUAUGCAUGAGAGCCCAAAGGAGAAAGAGUGUGCAGUUGUGGUUUUCUACAAGCAGAAUAACAUCAACUGGGCCAGCCCAUUUUGUGUGGUUUUGAAAGGUACUAUUCAGUGUUUCCAACAGAAUUGGAUCGUAUAAGUGAUUAUAUAGUUUUAUUAAAUAAUAUAGUAUAUAAGGUGUUCCGCUGAUAUUUCAUAGUUUUCACUGAGAUUUUUGCUCUGUUUUUCUAAAUUAAUCACACCUCAAUAACCCCAGAAAGCUUAGCCUAGAAAUCUAGACGCACCCUAGUGGCAGCCAACUGUAUUUUGCAGACAGGGUUUAGUCUACCAACUCUCCGUUGACUUUCGAGCUGGACAAACCUAAAUUGUGUCAGGCCAAUCACAUUGUGAAUUGAGUAGGUGGGGCAGGCUUAGCAUAAUGACGACGAAUUCCCUGCUACUUGGAUUUAAGGUGUUUUUUUUUUUUUUUGAGAAAAGCAAAGAACGCCACUUAAGUCAUUCUUAAAAAAGGAAGAUGAGUUAUUAGUUUUGCCGGCCAGAUAUGGCAAAAGUUGAAUCUAUCAAAUGACAUUAGCUCAGCUGUUGGCAAAACACUCUGGUCCUAUUGCGUGCAGAGAGAAUUUGAGUUUUUUUUUUCCCACAAAAAAUGGCCAAAUCCACAGAAUACAAAUACACUCAAAAUCUGUGGUAAUGGCAGUAUAAGGAUGUGGUUGGAUGCAGUAUGUGGUUACUAUUUGUUAGAGGUGUCAGUAAGUGGCAUAUUCAUUCAAGCACAAAUGAUUUGUAAUACUUGUAAUGUAUUCAUUCCAAAAAAAUAAUGUACUACAUCUCUCAACUCGUGUUACAGGUGAUCCCGCAGGAGAUGGGAGAUGUUAUGUUUGUACUGGCUACUGUAUACAGGCCACCAGGGCACCAUACAAACUUUAUUAAAGAGUGUGGUGAUUUUAUAUCUUAGUUAGU